rnacentral:lncRNA from 12 species
AAAUAAGGCUGUAGAACAAAACUGCCUAAUAUUAUAUUAUUUUUGAAGCCAUAUAUAAUCAUGUCAUCAGAGAUUUGCUGUGGUGCACACAUGAGAGGGAGCGGAGUUAAGGUGGUGCCUCUAAUGUUAUACUGUGCUAGUUCAGGAGGUUACAGAGUUUACAGCUGUGUAUUUUAUGUGCAUCGAUCCAGCACUGAGAAGGAGGUUUGCAUUUAUUCAGCCACAGCAGUGUCCUCUUCGUUCCCAUCACAGUCAAAGUUCUUCAAAGGAACGAGAGCACGGUUUCCCCUGCUUCCCAUGUGUGAACCCAAGGUGCUGGAGAAAGGUCCUUUAGUCCCUGAGAUCAAUGGCACGUGCACUACAAAGGAACCGAGUUUCCUGCUCCCCGCUCCCGUGUGCCGACUUCCUCUCCACAGAGCAAUGAAGAGGCAGAGAUUCCUGCAUGUUUGGUUGCAUGACAAUUGCAACAUCAGGGUUACCUCGAGAGGCAGUGAUCUCCCCCCAACUGUAAGAAGCUUCAGGAGACUUCUUCCUCUGGUGUCAAACUAACUAUUUUGGGAGUGGGAGCAAUCAUUUAUAUUCUCAUCCCAGAAUCACCAGGUACUUCACUGGAAGUUUGAUAAGGCCUUACUGUGUAUGUGCUGUAGGAAAAAAAAUUGUUUGUAUUUUGU